rnacentral:rRNA from 1 species
UACGUAGGGUGCGAGCGUUGUCCGGAAUUACUGGGCGUAAAGAGCUCGUAGGCGGUUUGUCGCGUCGUCCGUGAAAACUUGGGGCUCAACCCCAAGCUUGCGGGCGAUACGGGCAGACUUGAGUACUGCAGGGGAGACUGGAAUUCCUGGUGUAGCGGUGAAAUGCGUAGAUAUCAGGAAGAACACCAAUGGCGAAGGCAGCUCUCUGGGACGGUACUGACGCUGAGACGCGAAAGCGUGGGGAGCGAACAGG